AAUCUAUAUAGUAAACCUCAUCCCAAAACUAAACUUGUUUUAUCUGCAAAAAAACAUUUACAUCUUUUUAAACUCUGGCACUCAUAGUUUAUCUAAAUAAAAUUUAAGUAAAUAUACAGUGUCAGACUAAAGUGUUCGCGCAAUACAUUUUCAGUUGACUGCUGUUUAAAAAGCUUUUCCGUCGCGAUUUGCAUAAGACAAAUUAUUUUAUCCGAUAGAUGAAUCACUUUUCUAUAAGACUGGCUAAUUUUAAGAAUGGAGGGAAAAAAAAUUACAGAAUCUCGGAAGAAAAUCGUACUACAUUUUCCCAACCAACUCCAAUCGCAAGCUAAUUUUGAGAAAAUAUAAAAAGCUGUACAACUACUAUAAGUGUGAAUUCUGAAGUAAAUUCAAAAAUAUUCUGUUGAGAUUUGGGCAAGGAGUGCUAAAUGUGCAAAAUACCAAUAUUUUUAAACUAAUUUUAGACAUUUUUACUUUCAAAAAGUUUAAGAGAAUAAUGCAAUAAUCACCCAGACUCAAGUUUUCCCUUUCACAAAAGUUAUCGGAACGUUGCACAGUGGGCGAAUUGCCUGAUCUAGCGUAACGAAAUACAAAUUUUAUAUUUUUAAAAACCGCCAAAUUUUGAAUUCUUGGCGAUAUCAAAAUUUUUAUUUAGCAAAUCGAUAACAUCAAAACUUAUAAAGUCGACAUUGUUGAACAGCUGUGAGCUCCCGAGCACAACAUAUGCCAGCACAAUUUUUUUUAGAGUUAGCCGCGUUUUUUGCACGUUCUAGAUUUAUUUCAUUUAUUCACAUUUAUUUUCGAACUUUUUUUCUGAUUUUACAAGCUGAAGGUAUGUAUUAAAACUUUUAAUUUAAUUUAAAAGAAAAUAAAUUUGUUGUUCGUCCACUAUGUAAAUUGCCAAAUAUUAGCUGCAGUAGCCGCCCAUUCUGACUAUGCACUAUGACUAUUUUUAGAAAUCAUGUUGGCCUGCAGGCGCACGCUCUUUUUAGUAUAGCGUGGAGAAAAAUCCGUUUCCAGCACUGAUCUUGCUCAUAUUUUAUAUAUUUUAAAUGUUUUUGAAAAAUCAAAUAGGGAUAAGUGCAACAACGCAGCUUGGUUGAACGAACAUUUGGUUCCUCUACGUCCGGACAGAAAAUUGGGUCCAGAAUAAAAACAAAAGACAUUGCUAGUAGCCACCCAAACCGUUAACGCACAAAAGUUUGGAAAAUUAACAAUUAUCUGAUCAAAUUACUAGAGUAGGCCAUAAUCAAUAAAGAGACUUCGGGUCAUUUAGCGUUGUAUUGUCUCUGGAUAUGGAAUAAAGCGAAAGGUUUCGCGAUACGCAUUGGAAACUGCACAGAUUUGUAUACAAGAAUAUCCAUAGUUUUACACGCGAAAAAAUUCUCGGCUAAAAACGAUGUAGAAUCUGAUGAGCUCGUUAUUGGUUUCUUCAGAUCCAGUAAUAACAAUUUUAUACAAAAGGUCAGUAAAAAACUGCAGUUAACCCUUUUUAUUUGACAAGUAAGACCAAAAUCUCCUUUCGGAUUACCCGAAAAGUGUUCUCAAAAGUGUCAUGUAAGUGACAAACUAAAUUAAAUUUACACAAAAAAUUGUAUUUUAAAUAAAAACAAUUUUAUGAAUGUUUUUCCGUCAAGGGUUCACAUUCCAAAAAAAGUAUCUACUUUGUUAGAUACUAUUAUUAUUAUUAUUUAUUUGAGUAUUUUAUUUCGUAAGCAAGAAAUAAAUGUGCUUGUAACAGCACAGACUGUGCUCGUAAUAUGCGCGUAAAAGGAUAUCUGGCAAUUCAAUCAUGCUGUUACUCACAGCUCGUCAGACAUGUUCAAUACAGAAGUGUUGCAUCAAAGAUGUCUUGAUCUUCUUAAAUCGUCCCCUGACGCUUACUGUCUUCUCAGCGCCCGGUAUUGUCAACUCAUUGCGACAAGCUCCUCCCCCAACCGAAAAGUACGCAAAACACUGACGGAAGGCUAGUACAGACUGGGCUAUGUGCAAAUAAAAAAAAAAUGGAGUCCUCAAGAAACUAAGCUAAAUAGUGCACCCAAAAUAACCAAAACAUCUGGAACACUGUGCUAAAAGCGCUAACGAACAAUAGAUUUGCGAUUCUUAGUGACCCAAAAGAAGAUGAUGAUAACGCUCAAAUAUCUAAGGCCAAGCAAGUGAAGGUGAAGGUGUUCACCUAUUUAUGUGCAUCAGGCAAAUUGAUCUGAAUUGGUUACAAAAUUAAGUGAUAAAAUUGGCGAAAAAAAAAUUGUAUGUCACGUCCUAAACAGGGGUACCAUAAAUGAAACAAAAAUACAAGUCAAUGACGAACAUAUCUAUCGAUCAGUGGCCAUGAAUUACUGUACCUAACAACUUAAAAGCAGCAAAGGAUUAUAAGCUGUUAUUAAAGGAAUCGAAUAAACAGUUCCAGUCAAUGAGAUAAUAGCUGGACUUAAAGAUAAAGGCUUUGAAAUCAAAAUGAACAUAAACAUAAUAAAAUAAAAAAAAGUUCUCCAACCAAUGUUCAAGGUAGAACUGACUCUUGAUAGUAUGCCCAUAGGUAAAAAUAAAGUUCACCCAACUCCAAUAUACGUUAAGGAAUCACACAAACGCAAACGCCCAGUCAUCCGACAAAACUUGCCGUAUAUACCAUCAACUACGACCCCAGGAGUUUCUUUUGCUGAGGCGUUAAGUUAUACCAACGAGUCGUACGCCUCAGUCUCUAAGCCAAAACUUCAACAAAACACUACAGAAAUUACUGGCCAACGUGCCUUUACAAAUACAUCCCAUUUGCCUAGUGGAAUUGAAUCAAUGCUGGUAACUAUAGCAAAUACAAUGGUAGCAAUACAACAAACGAUGCAUUAACUUAUGCGCAAUCAAAAUCACCUCUUGUAGCUCGUAAUCAAACAGAAAUCUGCUUAAAUGGUUUCUCUAAAUAUAUCUUUCUAGAAUGCGAAUGGCAUUUCACAGCACAAAUGCGAGCUCUUGGAGUUCCUCGAUCAACACGACAUUGACGCUACAACUUCUAUCCGACAAACCAUCCCGAUGGCAACAUCAAUUCAUAUCGAAACUCAAAGCGGUUACUUAAGCCUAGCCGCAGUGUAGUGCCCACCGCACUUCUUCGUUUUCGAAGAAGAAUUUGUAAAAUUCUUUGACCUAUGAGGGGACCGAUUUAUAGCAGCUGGUGACUACAAUCCAAAGCACACCAAUUGGAGAUCUCGACACAGCAACCCGGAAGGAAGACACUUAUAUUAUGCUUAGUCACACCUCGAAAGAAGCUUGACUUUAUUUCUCCGGGUAGGCGUAAAUAUUGGCCCACAGCCCCAAAGAAGCAAUCCGACUUUAUUAAUUUUACUAUUACAAGAAGAGUGACGCAGGCUCAGAUUCGUUUAGAACACUGCACAGAUCUAUCAUCGGAUCACUCGCCAAUUUUACUUCACGUUUAUGACCAGCCACAGUUCUCAAAACGCCCACACUUUUUUACUUCUAGCAAAACAGAUUAGCUCAUUUACAUGAAAUAUAGAAGUUCCCAUAUUGAUGACUGUAAAGAUGACUUAGAAAGCUGAGUUGAAGCAUUAUUGGCUGUAAUGUCACUGGCUGCAAAACACUCCACUCCAAUAAUAACAGGUAUAAAAAUUCCCAACAGCAGUCGUGUUCCCAGGCAUAUUGAAGAGCUGCUGUAAGAUAAGAUUAGCCUUCUGCGAGAAUGGCAAGCCCAUAGAUUACCUACCUCGAAGGACCGGUUAAAAUAGCCAACCACUACUCAAAUAAACUAUAUGGAGCAAUCCUCUCCUAAUAGCAAACGAUUCCCACUGUGGAAAGCUAAAUCAGGCGUGUGUCCGUUUAGAAAACGGAAAAUGGAUUCCGCAAAAACAUGGAAACUCUGAGAUACGAAAUGCAUUUGAAAGACGAGAAUAUUGCUCCACUGUCUUCUUAGAUGUCGGCCAAGCUUUCGACCGCGUUUAGCUGGAUGGCUUAAUUAAAAAAAUCAGAAUAUUACUUCCACAGAACACCAAUAAAAUAUUUGAGUCAUACCUACAGCGAGGAAGUUUAACAUUCACAAGUUUCACAUUAAGAUGCACAGAUUUUCUCUCUGAAUAUCAACCAAUUGAAGUUGGUGUAAACCAGGAUAGCGUGCUCGGACCGACAUUGUAUAUUAUCUAUAAGCAGAUAUACCGACAAACAGACUUACAACAACUUCGACAUUCGCUGAUGAUACUGCCAUCCUCAGUCGCUCCAAGUGCUCUACAAGAGCAACGGAACACUUAUCAUCUCAUCUGUCUGAACACCAUCAAAAUUCCACAAACCACCGAAGUAGCAUAUGUACCUUGGUGUCCAUUUGGAUAGACGGCUCACUUGGCGUAAACACAGUGAAGCGAAGAGAAAUCUACUGAAAUUUAAAACUAAUAAUCGAUUAAACUGGAAUACAAAAGAACUUUAGUACAAUGCCGUUUUCAAACCAAUAUGGCUCCGAACUACGGGUAAACGCUUGCAUUAGUAAUCUAGAAAUAAUGCAAAGGGCUCAAUCGAUGAUACUGAGAACUUUCACUUAGGCCCAUGGUACAUACGGAAUGAAUAUAUUCAUAAAGAAAUGUAGAAUCUGAUAAAGAUGAAACAUCCAAAGUGAAAGAAAAGUAUCAGGUCAAAGUUCUGGCCUAGACUUGCGUAGUCUUCAACUUGGCAAACUAGCCAUACACGAGUCCGCCGAAGAGACCUUCCCACCCAGCAAUAAUAGUUAUACCGUAGGCCGUACACAAAAUAAUUUAUUGUAAUUAACUUAAUAAAUAUAUUGGAUUAAGAUUUUCCUACUUGUUAGUCUACAAGAGAAAAGAUUCAAUAAAUAAAACAAAGUUAAAAAAAAAAAAAACCAACAAAAUUGGAAAUGAAACACUAUCAAAAGCAGUUGCAAAAACCUUAUAUAUCUUAUGUACUAUUCACACUGACGACCAUCCAUUUCGGGCAUGCUCCGUAAUAGGCUAUUCGCACUGACGAUCAUCCACCAUCCAUUUCGAGAAUGGUCCGUAAGGUUUUGCCGUUCCGAAAUUUCCCAGUUAGUCCACCAUCCAUUUUGGAUGUUCUCAAACCGCACGUUUCUAUGCGAUAGUUAGCCGAUGAUUAUCAAAUGCCACCCUAAAAAGCAAUGAAUGGCAAUAAAAAAUAGUUCGCGAUAUUUCAAAUCGUUGAAGAUUAAAACAUGAAAAAAUACAACAGACAAAAUGGAAACACCAGAAAUUGGUGGUAAUAAGUACACAUAUGGAUAUACAUAUUGUACAUAUUUAUGAAUUUGCUUUCUUUUUUAUGAUUAGUAUUUUGCAGCCAUUAAAUAAAAAAA